GCCAGAACCGGAACCGUUUACCCAAAUAGACCCAGAACCGGAACCGGAUACAGCCUUACUUGUAAUUGGAGAUGCUGGGUUGUUGCAGCAGAGUUAAAAAAAAUUCACAAGUUUUGUCAUUGCCCAAAAUUUGAUUAUGCACUUUAUUUACAUCUUCAUUUAUUCCACGAAAAGCAUUUCGCAUUGAGGUCAUACCCAAAGCAUCUCGUCAGAAGCAUAGUCUACGUUGACUUCGUUAUCGUCUAACUCCUCUAAGUUAGACCUGAACUUGAUUUGGCAGGUUUAUGUAAUAGGUGAGGAAGGCAUACUGGAAGAACUGGAGCUAGCUGGUUUUACAGCACUAGGUGGCCCGGUAUGCGAUCCCCUUUGCUCUCAUAUUCUUAAUAAGUAGUGUUACAGAAUUGGAUAGUGUUGGGGUCAGAAGAACAACUCGUGGGUUCUUUAGGUGGUGUCGUUGUCCCAUUACAUUUUGUUGAUAACAAAUUUUCAAUAAUAGUUUAGCCUAAUAACAUAUCGGAAGUCUGAAACAUCUGGUAGCCACUCUAACUCUGUCUCUCUCCUGCCUUCUCUAUCUUUUUUUCAUCUGAGCACUUGUGCAGCAAUAGCUUCUCUGCCUUUUCUUUAAUUUAGUAUAACUGAAUAUCACAUAUUUUUG
rnacentral:lncRNA from 1 species